UUUUAUAUUAAAACUAGUCAGACAAUGCCAUGUUCAACCCCAGUAUACAGUAUACACUGAGACGUGUUCAGUCAACGCUCGAGGGUAACCCCUCAAGUCUAUUAAGCAACAAAAAUGAUCCUUCCGCAGGUUCACCUACGGAAA
rnacentral:misc_RNA from 1 species